UCAGCGAUUAUUGCAGGCUUUGCCCGGUCCCCUCAGGUCCAAUAUCGCACAAGCGUUGUGCUGCAGACGGUACCGCAGCUUACUCUCCAUCUCGUGCUGCGUUUCUCGUACCUGCAGAAAACUUACUUCAGCAUCAAAUAAACCCCGUGGGAAGCGUACCCGACUCAUGCCUGCAGGACCAUCCCGUUGGGGCUGGUAAAAUCCAUGAACGGGGCGAUGCUUGGAAGAAUGUCACCUAUGGAGAAGGCAACACUCUCCUUCUGGGCAACAGUUUUUGGAGACUGGUUUCCCCACCCCACUGUGCAUUUUGAAGGAGGCAGUCCCUAAGCUGAUGCAAUCCAACUGCAUCUAAGCUGUAGUUCUGUAGCAUCUGUAGCAAAAUAAACUGCCAGAUGAAUAAACGAGCAGGUACAAAUACGCUUGACUCUAUAGCUGAGAUUAAAUAACGUGCAGUUUCUUAUGUGUUUUACCUUUCAAAGCACGUUGUUUCCGAGCGCCUGAGCUUUUUGCUCGUAUUACCGAGGAAGGGAAUGGCUGCGCUUCUUCCCCCCUCAUCCCUCUAUUUUAAUUUCUCCUCUUUUCCCUCGAUGACAGGGAUUCAGAAUGUUUUCCUCAGCUAUCCACGUGAAAAUU